AAUAAUGUUUUUUCGUUUUUAACCAGUCUAAACAUCAGCAUCUGCACAUAAUAUUGAAUCGAUCAUAGGGAUAGUCCUCUUAAAGGGCAUGCCCGGAGCCCUUUAAGACCAUGUAAUAUCUUCACCGGUGUCGACCCAUUAACAUCCAUGUGAAUGGUAUUUCAUUGCUAGAUCUGUACCACCUAGCUAUGAGAUGUCAUUUCAUAUAAAAAGGAUGUAGUAAGAUAUGGACAUUUAUUGCGAUUUGUUUUGAACACUGGCCAAUAAAGGGUCAUUCUUUUUACAUUCUUUGUCGGCACUGAAGAAAUUACUUAGAAAUUCUUGGUGCGGCACCGAAAGCAUGUCACUCUAGGAAUCGCAGGAAAAAAACAAUAUAACUUGGAAUAUCAUUGUUUGAAUAAACUUCUAAUUUGUACUGACUAAUUAAAGUCUGUUUUUAUUUUUUUUGUACAUUUCAUAGGCAUUUAAGAAGACGAAUCUAUGACCUCAAAAGCAAACACUUCUUUUUAAAAGCCUUAAAUUUUUAACAGUGUAACAAUGACUAAUGCAACAAGGUCCUUAAUGUGUUUUAUUUACUACAAUGCAUAUUAUAUUAGAAAUCAGAUGCUAACCUAAACGUGUUGAAGAAGAAUGCUUACUUUCCCAGCCUAUGGCCUACUUUAAGGGGCAAAAUUUCGCUAUUGAAGAGCUCUACAUCCAAUCAUUCAUGGGCCAUCUCUUAUUUAUUUACUUGCAAGAUAUUAAGAAUCUUGGUUUGUUGGCCAAUGUAAUGAAAUCUGUUGAUAUUUCAUCGCUCUUUUUGCAUAAGAUUCUUUAAUAACAUUUCUGUGACUAUUAUAAUUAUAAUGGGUUAAAUAUUUAUAAUAUUCAUUCAUGCUUGUUAUAAUUCCACACUUUAAUACACUUUCAAUGCUAUUAGAAAACACUUAGCACAAAUAAAUGUAUCUAUAUCCGCCUUCAUGUCUUGUAA